AUGUUAGUUCCUGGCCAGCUUUCAGAGCAGCUGUAAGACAUUGCUUUGACCUCAUCUAUAUUUUUAUUCUUAGCAGUCGAACCAGCUUUCUCUCUCCAGAAAGAAAUGGUAUUAAUUCUGCAAGAUUUUUUGCUAAUCCUGUUUCCAGAGAAGACGAAGAAAGCUACAUCGAAAUGGAGGAGCACCGAACAGCCAGUUCCCUGAGCAGUGGUGCCCUUACGUGGACAAAGAAAUUCAGCCUAGAUUAUUUGGCCCUGGACUUCAAUUCAGCAUCACCAGCCCCCAUGCAGCAGAAACU
rnacentral:lncRNA from 1 species